rnacentral:rRNA from 1 species
UACAGAGGUCUCAAGCGUUGUUCGGAUUCAUUGGGCGUAAAGGGUGCGUAGGCGGCGCGGUAAGUCGGGUGUGAAAUCUCGGAGCUUAACUCCGAAACUGCAUUCGAUACUGCCGUGCUUGAGGACUGGAGAGGAGACUGGAAUUUACGGUGUAGCGGUGAAAUGCGUAGAUAUCGUAAGGAAGACCAGUGGCGAAGGCGGGUCCCUGGACAACACCUGACACUGAGGCACGAAAGCUAGGGGAGCAAACAGG